AAACAACAAAAAAGAGGCGAAAAAAAAGACCAAAAAACACCCUCUGUUUUGCGUGUGUGUUUUCUUCUUCUUCUUCUUCUUCCAAAGUCGUCUUCCUUUUCUCUCUCU
rnacentral:ribozyme from 14 species